ACUCCCUGUCUUUUUCAAAGCAGAACUUAGAAUGAGCGACAGAGGACUAGCAUCGACUCUAGUCGUUUUCUUUUUCAUCCCUACCUGUGCCUUGCAGCUCUCUGGGAUUUUCUCGUCAAGAUGGGUGAAAAUACCAGCAACUAAUGCAACAAGAGAAUGUUAUGUGGGAGUCAUCUUUAAUAAUAAUUGCUGGUCAUGGGAUUAUCCUCGAGUGAUAGAUCUUGGAGGUACUGUUCGCGGCCUUGAGAUUAUUACGGCAAUUAUCAUGGCCUUUACAACAUUGAACGCUUUGUGUUCUCUUCGAUACUCAGAUGAUGAGGACGAGCAGAGCUCCUCCUGUUGUAGAUUAUGCACUGGAUGUGUUUCAAUCUUUUAUCCAUUUUCCGGUAUUCUUGGCUUUGCUGGGUGUAUGAUUCUAGUUUCAGAAGGUUUAGCGCCGUUUUACUGGGCCUUCUACAUUUUGUUUAGCGGCCUCCAUUUAUAACAUUCUACAGAUGUUUUUCUGCUGCUGGUUUAUCUACCAAGCCCGACAUAUGGAAGACGAGGGGAGCGGCGAAGAAGAACCUACUGGAGUUAUUGUGAUGCAGCAACUCCAGAUUACACAGGUUACUCACAACAUAUUCCACAUUACAUAGACAACGGACAUUUAUACAUGAUCUUCAUAAUCAAGUGUAUUGAAGCAUUUUAUGAUGAAUCUGAUGUUUCUGGAGUAAACAAUUUUGUGAAAGAUGUAAAUCUCUGAUUGUUAUUCGAUUAAGUAAAUUUGACUGAAUACAUAUACCAGUAUAUAUAUUGUGCAUCUUAUAUUAUUGCUAUUUGAUUUUGCAUGCUUCAG